AACGCGAAGAACCUUACCUACCCUUGACAUGUCCGGAACCCUGCUGAGAGGUGGGGGAGCCCGAAAGGGAAUCGGAACACAGGUGCUGCAUGGCUGUCGUCAGCUCGUGUCGUGAGAUGUUGGGUUAAGUCCCGCAACGAGCGCAACCCUUGUCCUUAGUUGCCAUCAUUUAGUUGGGAACUCUAAGGAGACCGCCGGUGACAAACCGGAGGAAGGUGGGGAUGACGUCAAGUCAGCAUGGCCUUUAUGUCUGGGGCCACACACGUGCUACAAUGGCAGGUACAAACCGCUGCUAAGUCGCGAGACGGAGCUAAUCGGAAAAAACCAGUCUCAGUUCGGAUUGCAGUCUGCAACUCGACUGCAUGAAGUUGGAAUCGCUAGUAAUCGCAGAUCAGCACGCUGCGGUGAAUACGUUCCCGGGCCUUGUACACAC
rnacentral:rRNA from 1 species